ACGGCGAGUGAAGAGGGAAAAGCUCAAAGUUGGAACCUGGUAGGCAUAGCUUACCCGGAUUGUAAACUAAAGUUUUCGAGUCGUUUAGUCAGCCAGGUAAAUAAGUCCUCUGGAAAGGGGCGACAUAGAGGGUGAAAUCCCCGUCUUUGGCCUGAGUUUUGAUUAGGCGUUUGGCUUGGAAACGAAGAGUCAGGUUGUUUGGGAAUGCAGCCUAAAAUGGGAGGUAAAUCUCUCCUAAAGCUAAAUAUUGACGAAAGACCGAUAGCGAACAAGUACCGUGAGGGAAAGAUGAAAAGCACUUUGAAAAGAGGGUCAAAAAGUACGUGAAAUUGCUGAAAGGGAACCGUAUGAAAUCAGACCUACUGGUAGGUAAUCAAUCUUUCCUUUGGGAAGGAUGCACUUGCCUACUAUGUAUGCCAGCGACAUUUUGGUUGGGAGGAAAAAAAUAAAGGAAAUGUAGCUUAGGUUUCGGCUUAGGUGUUAUAGUCCUUUAUAAAAUACUCUCGGCUGGAAUGAGGAACGCAGCAAACCGUAAGGCGAAGAUUUCAGGCGCUUAGAGGGAAUAAUUAGAGAAUUUCUGCUUCGGGUGGUGCUUUGAUUAUUACCUUUAACACGCUUGGAGUUCUUUUAAUUU
rnacentral:rRNA from 1 species